CCAUCUUUGAUCUUCGGCCCGGAACACC
rnacentral:sRNA from 1 species